rnacentral:lncRNA from 1 species
GUUAUGCUAUUUUUUUUGUUUUUUUUAUUGUCGUAUUAUUACUUUUUCAGAGCUUUUUUUUUUUUUUUUUGAGACAGGGGCCCCCUCUGUGGCCCAGGCUAGAGUGCAGUGGCAUGAUCAUGGCUCACUGCAGCCUCAACCUCUCAGGCUCUAGUGAUCCUCAGCCUCCCAAGUAGCUGGGACCACAGCAAUUCACCGCCACACCAGGUUAAUUUAUUUUUAUUUUUGUAUAGACAGGGUCUCCCUAUGUUGCCCGGGCUGGUCUCAAACUCCUGAGAUGAAGCCAUCCUCCUGCCUCAGCCUCCCAAAGUGCUGGGAUUACAGGCAUGAGCCACUGCCCCCAGCCUCCAAAUAUUUUUGAUCCUUGAUUGGUUGAAUCCCUGGAUGUGGAACCCUCAGAUACAGGGGGCUGAUCGUAUGUCACUAAGAGAAUCAGAAAAUGAUGUAAAAAUCAAAGAAAAAAUCUAUCUUGCUAAUUUAAUUGAAAUUAUAAUACUAAGAUCAAGAUUCUAUGUAAUUGCCCGUACUUCUGAAUUAUUUAUGGCCCAGAAUGACACAGUUGGAAGGAGAUGUCUCUGUUAAAUCACAAGCAGCAACUUAGCUUGUAUGAACUGAAUGAGGAGGGUUUGCACAAGUGAGGACUACUGUAUGAUUCAGGACUUUAGAAAAUGCAAAUUAGGGCUGGGUGCGGUGGCUAACGCCUGUAAUCCCAGCAUUUUGGGAGGCUGUAGCAGGUGGAUCACCUGAGGUCAAGAGUUCGAGACCAGCCUGACCAAUAUGGUGAAAUCCUGCCUCUACUAAAAAUACAAAAAUUAGGUGGGCAUGGUGGCAUGCGCCUAUAGUCUCAGCUACUUGGGAGGCUGAGACAGGAGAAUUGCUUGAACCUGGGAGGCAGAGGUUGCAGUGAGCUGAGAUGGCGCCACUUCACUCUAGCCUUGGUGACAGAGCGAGAC